CAGUCGCCACGGUAAUACGAAGGGGGCUAGCGUUGUUCGGAUUUACUGGGCGUAAAGCGCACGUAGGCGGACUUUUAAGUCAGGGGUGAAGUCCCGGGGCUCAACCCCGGAACUGCCUUUGAUACUGGAAGUCUUGAGUAUGGUAGAGGUGAGUGGAAUUCCGAGUGUAGAGGUGAAAUUCGUAGAUAUUCGGAGGAACACCGGUGGCGAAGGCGGCUCACUGGACCAUUACUGACGCUGAGGUGCGAAAGCGUGGGGAGCAAACAGGAUUAGAUACCCGAGUAGUCCCUGUCUCUUAUAC
rnacentral:rRNA from 1 species